GGCGGCGAUGCCUAAUACAUGCAAGUCGAGCGGUAACAGGACUAGCUUGCUAGUUGCUGACGAGGCGGCGGACGGCUGAGUAACGCAUGGGAACGCACCCCAAACUGAGGGAUAACGCACCGAAAGGUGUGCUAAUACCGCAUGUGAUCUUCGGAUUAAAGCUUUCGGGCGGUUUGGGAGCGGCCUGUGUACGAUUAGAUAGUUGGUGAGGUAAUGGCUCACCAAGUCGACGAUCGUUAGAUGGUUUGAGAGGAUGAUCAUCCAGACUGGGACUGAGACACGGCCCAGACUCCUACGGGAGGCAGCAGUAGGGAAUCUUUCACAAUGGGCGAAAGCCUGAUGGGAAGCAAUGCCGCGUGCAGGACGAAGGCCUUCGGGUUGUGAACUGCUUUUAUAAGCGAGGAAUAUGACGGUAACUUAUGAAUAAGGAUCGGCUAACUACGUGCCAGCCGCCGC
rnacentral:rRNA from 1 species